UACGUAGGGUGCGAGCGUUGUCCGGAAUUAUUGGGCGUAAAGAGCUUGUAGGCGGUUUGUCGCGUCUGCUGUGAAAAUCCGGGGCUCAACCCCGGACUUGCAGUGGGUACGGGCAGACUAGAGUGUGGUAGGGGAGACUGGAAUUCCUGGUGUAGCGGUGAAAUGCGCAGAUAUCAGGAGGAACACCGGUGGCGAAGGCGGGUCUCUGGGCUGAUAACUGACGCUGAGGAGCGAAAGCGUGGGGAGCAAACAGG
rnacentral:rRNA from 1 species